rnacentral:tRNA from 2 species
GCCGAGGUAGCUCAGUCGGUAGAGCACCGCCCUGAAGAGGCGGGUGUCGUCAGUUCGAUUCUGACCCUCGGCACCA